UUUCCGAAGGUGAACCUGCGGAAGGAUCAUUAUUGAAACUUCAUCCGGGGCGCCGCGGCCCUCAGCACCGGUGGAAACGCCGUGCUGCGGGGGCCGCGCGUGCACUCGUCCAAACCAAACCCCAGUGAACCUUACGGGAUGGCCCGGGUUAGCGCCCGGUGCCGUUCCGCUUUAUACAAACACUUAUCAAAGAAUGAACUGAAGGCGGUCUGACCGCUGGAUAACAAACUGAAACAACUUUCAACAACGGAUCUCUUGGCUCUC
rnacentral:misc_RNA from 1 species